AAUGAACGCUGGCGGCAUGCCUAACACAUGCAAGUCGAACGAGACCUUCGGGUCUAGUGGCGCACGGGUGCGUAACGCGUGGGAAUCUGCCCUUGGGUUCGGAAUAACUCGCCGAAAGGCGUGCUAAUACCGGAUGAUGACGUAAGUCCAAAGAUUUAUCGCCCAAGGAUGAGCCCGCGUAGGAUUAGCUAGUUGGUGGGGUAAAGGCCCACCAAGGCGACGAUCCUUAGCUGGUCUGAGAGGAUGAUCAGCCACACUGGGACUGAGACACGGCCCAGACCCCUACGGGAGGCAGCAGUGGGGAAUAUUGGACAAUGGGCGAAAGCCUGAUCCAGCAAUGCCGCGUGAGUGAUGAAGGCCUUAGGGUUGUAAAGCUCUUUUACCCGGGAUGAUAAUGACAGUACCGGGAGAAUAAGCCCCGGCUAACUCCGUGCCAGCAGCCGCCGUAA
rnacentral:rRNA from 1 species